rnacentral:rRNA from 1 species
AUUGAACGCUGGCGGCAGGCCUAACACAUGCAAGUCGAGCGGAGCGGCGGACGGGUGAGUAAUGCCUAGGAAUCUGCCCGGUAGUGGGGGCUAACGUCCGGAAACGGGCGCUAAUACCGCAUACUAUCAGAUGAGCCUAGGUCGGAUUCGGUCGUUGGUGGGGUAAAUGGCUACCAAGGCGACGAUCCGGAACUGGUCGGAGAGGAUGAACAGUCACACUGGAAAUGAGAGACGGUCCAUACUGCGACGUGAGGCAGCAGAGGGAAUUAUUGGACAAUGGGCGAAAGCCUGAUCCAGCCAUGCCGCGUGUGUGAAGAAGGUCUUCGGAUUGUAAAGCACUUUAAGUUGGGAGGCGUUACCAACAGAAUAAGCGCCGGCUAACUUCGUGCCAGCCGCCGCGGUAAUUC